rnacentral:rRNA from 1 species
GAGUUUGAUCUUGGCUCAGAUUGAACGCUGGCGGCAUGCCUUACACAUGCAAGUCGAACGGCAGCACGGGAGCUUGCUCCUGGUGGCGAGUGGCGAACGGGUGAGUAAUGCAUCGGAACGUAUCCUGGAGUGGGGGAUAACGUAGCGAAAGUUACGCUAAUACCGCAUAUUCUGUGAGCAGGAAAGCGGGGGACCUUCGGGCCUCGCGCUCUUGGAGCGGCCGAUGUCGGAUUAGCUAGUUGGUGAGGUAAAGGCUCACCAAGGCGACGAUCCGUAGCAGGUCUGAGAGGAUGAUCUGCCACACUGGAACUGAGACACGGUCCAGACUCCUACGGGAGGCAGCAGUGGGGAAUUUUGGACAAUGGGGGCAACCCUGAUCCAGCCAUGCCGCGUGAGUGAAGAAGGCCUCGGUUGUAAGAC